GACUCUCAACAAUGGAUAUAUCAAUUCUCGUAUCGAUGAAGAACAUAGAGAAAUAUGAUACUUGGUGUGAAUUGUAGAAUCCCAUGAACCAUCAAGUCUUUGAACGCAAGAUAUGCCCAAAGCUAUUAUGCCGAGGGCACGUCUACCUGGGCAUCA
rfam:Capsicum annuum cultivar Zunla-1 chromosome 6, whole genome shotgun sequence